UUGGAAAACUGUUUACUGAUAGUUUUCAUCGAUAACUGCUUAACUGGUCCCUCAACCUAUAAUUAUAUCACCUCACUAAUUGCAUAGAUUUGUCAUAACUACAAGAUACAAAUCUGUCCAUAAUCCAACUUACACAUAUGGUAUUGAAAUUCGUAUCUACAUUCGUUUGGAUUGCGGAAAGCAAUGACAAAUUUUAUAAUUGUGCCGAGACACUUUUGCGGUUAGCGAUGCGCACUUUCCCAACACUAUCACUUAACUGUCAUUGUUUUACUUACAAGAAAUCCCCUAAGCGCUCUUAUUAAAACUUUAACUCUCUCGAUCUUGAUGUGGAUGCAAUCAGAGGGCAGUUAUAGCUAGCCUAACUUCAUAGAGCUUGAGUGGGAACAUGAAAAAACCUUUCAUUCAACAGACAUCAACAUACUAAGUUUCAAAGUGUCAAUCGCGCAUUCAACAAACACACCAAACAUCAACCAUCAUGAAGUUAUCUGUGGUCCUUUUGGUUAUUGCCAUUUUAUCGUGCAUCCUUGGCGAAAUUGGCUUAGCAGAAGCUACUAAGAAAAAAAGUGUGCAACGUGCAAGCAGCAGUAGACGUGGACAUGGAAAUGGCAAAGCUGCUCUAGUUAACCGGGUUUCCAAGAAGAAGAGCGGAAAAAAACAUGGAUAGGCUGUGAAAUUUAAUUUUUUUUGAAUUUUUAAUUGUUUUAAUUGUGUUUAAUCAACAAGUCAAUAUUUUAUUAGAAUAUUAUGUGUCCACAGUCAUUUUUAAGUCAAGAAAAAUCCGUUUCAACCGAAAAAAAAUUUGUUAUUAAUUAUUACAUAAUUUGAAACCUUGUUUUUCUAAUGAAUCAAUAAAUAUGCACUAAUUUUGUAUAUGGAA